rnacentral:rRNA from 1 species
GACGAACCGUGCGAACGUUAUUCGGAAUCACUGGGCUUAAAGCGCGUGUAGGCGGGCCGCCACGUCGGCUGCUGAAAUCCCCCGGCUCAACCGGGGAACGGGCACCGAUACGAGCGGCCUCGAGGGGGGUAGGGGACCUGGAACUUCCGGUGGAGCGGUGAAAUGCGCAGAUAUCGGGAGGAACACCGGUGGCGAAGGCGGUUCUCUGGGCCUUACCUGACGCUGCGGAGCGAAAGCGUGGGAGCGAACAGG